GGGAAAAUGUGAAGGUUGCACAUUUCAUGGUGCAGACAAUGGGGGAGAACAGGAACUCUCACAUUACAGGCAGAAGUGUUCACAACCAGCGCAUUGAGCGCCUGUGGAGGGAUGUAUAUGAAAACGUCCUUGACCUUUUCUACACAAUCUUCACCCAGCUGGAGAUUCAAGGACUGCUCAACCCUGGAAGCAUGGAAUCAGCACGGACUCAGAACAGCAAACAACCAUUCACCUCUGCAACUCUGGCUGCUGCACAGGAA